CUACGGGUGGCUCCAGUGGGGAAUAUUGCACAAUGGGCGAAAGCCUGAUGCAGCAACGCCGCGUGGAGGAUGACACAUUUCGGUGCGUAAACUCCUUUUAUAUAAGAAGAUAAUGACGGUAUUAUAUGAAUAAGCACCGGCUAACUCCGUGCCAGCAGCCGCGGUAAUACGGGGGGUGCAAGCGUUACUCGGAAUCACUGGGCGUAAAGAGAAUGUAGGCUGGAUGACAAGUUGGAAGUGAAAUCCUAUGGCUUAACCAUAGAACUGCUUCCAAAACUGUCUUCCUGGAGUAUGGGAGAGGUAGAUGGAAUUUCUGGUGUAGGGGUAAAAUCCGUAGAGAUCAGAAGGAAUACCGAUUGCGAAGGCGAUCUACUGGAACAUUACUGACGCUCAGAUGCGAAAGCGUGGGGAGCAAACAGGAUUAGAUACCCGUGUAGUC
rnacentral:rRNA from 1 species